GCCGGAAUAGCUCAACUGGUAGAGCAACUGACUUGUAAUCAGUAGGUUGCGGGUUCAAGUCCUGUUUCCGGCACCA
rnacentral:tRNA from 1 species